rnacentral:lncRNA from 1 species
ACGUACAGGAUGCCUGGGGGCAGGGAGAAGGAGUUUGUUAUCUAGGGUGUUACUGGUCUCAGACACGGCCAACAUUUGCUAGGAGUGCCUUGUGUUCACGCCAGUGACCCAGUGGCCUGGAGUGGGAAGCAGCAUAACACCUUCUAAGAGAGCCUCUCCAAGCCUGCAGGACCUGCAGCAGCCAGGACCCCUGCCAUGGCUUUGAGUCAAUCCCAGCGGCACAUGGCUCGCUUUGCCGCCUUGCGUUUCUGAUCUCCUGGGUGUGCUCUGCCGAUGCAGACGGUGCCUCAGCGAUGUGGCCUUUGGGGGAGGCAGAGAGAUGCCCCUGGGCCUGUCUUUGAAAUGGUCACAUGAAACACCCCAAGGUUCAUCCCGGGAGGCUGCACAAGCUGACAAUGGCAGCUCUGUGAGCAGGUGUUACAGGGCUAGCCAGGCUCUGGGCCCCACCCAAAUGCGCCAGGUGUCCAGGAGAGCCUGCCAGACAGCAGGUGGAUGGGAGAGUCGGGGUCUGUGGGGCAGUGCUGUCAGCCAGAGCAGAGCCAGCACCGGCAUGACACUUGCCCAGAACCAGCCGCAGAGGCGCAAAGGUGACAUAAAGCUGCGUACAGCCCAGGCCCUCCUGGAGGUUCAGCACCAUCCUAGGGAGCUGGAAAGCAGGGACUGUACCUCCCACCACCACCAGGCUCCAGUGGGUUGUGAGUCUUUGGGGGAGUGGGGAGCUUUGGGAGUGUGUGAGGAAGUGGGCUGGGGCGCACCACAUGCACAGGGCAGGGUGGAAGCACACAUGGAGCCAGGAGUACAGCGGUGGGGCGGGCAGAUGUGGGCUAUUCCCCAUGGCUGCGGCUGCGGAGUGGGGAACUCCAGUGGGCCCUGGGCCAGGCUAUUUUGCCCCCAGCACAACCCCUCUCUGUGUGAGGAGCACUCAAGGGCCCACCACCCCCAUGGAGCAUCCAGCUCAGCCCGAGCCUGCCCCAGGCCUUGCAUACCCAUUCAGUGAACAUGCUUGGCAAUUAGCAUAGCCCCACCCAUGCAGUGACAGGGGCCCUCCCCUUACACCUGGGUACUCACAAUGCCCAGCCACCUAUGGGCCCGCUGGCCCCUCUCCCUGGCCAGCAGGGCUGAGGCCUGUGAGUGGAAUAAUGGAUAAGGGCUGUUCUCGAAGUGCGAGGGCCAGUUACACAAGGGAACCGAGUGUCCUGCUGCAGCCACAGGGCUGGGCCUGCCUCACAUCCCUCUAUGGGGUGGCCGAGCCGAGCCAAGCAGCUGGGCCACCUGCCCUUGCUGCUCCCGCACAGGGCACAGAUGUCCCAGGCCAACCAGGAUUCUCCGACUGGCCUUUU